GGGCAGUGCCGAGCAGGGCUCGAAGCGGUCUCGAACACCGCGGCAUUCGCGAGGGUGAUGGUUCGAUUCCUCACUGCCCGCCA
rnacentral:tRNA from 1 species